CAAGACCUUGCGCUCUUGGAGCGGCCGAUGCCUGAUUAGCUAGUUGGUGAGGUAAAGGCUUACCAAGGCGACGAUCAGUAGCUGGUCUGAGAGGACGACCAGCCACACUGGGACUGAGACACGGCCCAGACUCCUACGGGAGGCAGCAGUGGGGAAUUUUGGACAAUGGGGGAAACCCUGAUCCAGCCAUGCCGCGUGAGUGAAGAAGGCCUUCGGGUUGUAAAGCUCUUUCAGCCGGAACGAAACGGUCACGGCUAAUACCUGUGACUACUGACGGUACCGGAAGAAGAAGCACCGGCUAACUACGUGCCAGCAGCCGCGGUAAUACGUAGGGUGCAAGCGUUAAUCGGAAUUACUGGGCGUAAAGCGUGCGCAGGCGGUUUUGUAAGUCAGAUGUGAAAUCCCCGGGCUUAACCUGGGAACU
rnacentral:rRNA from 1 species